UAUGGCCAUAUCACAUUGAGACACAGGUUCUCAUAUGAUACCUGAAGUUAAGUAACAUCAAGCCUGGACAGUAUCUAGAUGGGUGACCACUUGGGAAUACCAGGUGUUGGA